rnacentral:rRNA from 1 species
GACCUCAAAUCGGGUGGGACUACCCGCUGAACUUAAGCAUAUCAAUAAGCGGAGGAAAAGAAACUAACAAGGAUUCCCCUAGUAACGGCGAGUGAAGAGGGAAAAGCUCAAAUUUUGAAUCUGGUGUCUUUGACUCCCGAGUUGUAAUCUAGAGAAGUGUUUUCCGUGUCGGACCGUGCGCAAGUUCCCUGGAACGGGGCGUCAUAGAGGGUGAGAAUCCCGUAUAUGGCACGGACCGCCGAUGCUCUGUGAUACACUCUCAACGAGUCGAGUUGUUUGGGAAUGCAGCUCAAAAUGGGUGGUAAAUUCCAUCUAAAGCUAAAUAUUGGCGAGAGACCGAUAGCGAACAAGUACCGUGAGGGAAAGAUGAAAAGCACUUUGGAAAGAGAGUGAAACAGUACGUGAAAUUGUUGAAAGGGAAGCGUUUGAAGUCAG